UUGUUUUCCCUGUUAUUUAUUUUCUUCACCUCAGGUUUUUGAAAACCAGAAACAGAUGGACUAAUCCAAGCUCCUCAGAGCAGACGGCGUCUCAAGCUCCCUGCGUUGAGGAACGGAGCUCCCCUGCAGAGAGCUGCAGCCGUGGAAUAAUUGACUCUAGCUCUGCCGCAGAAAGAACACCCUGAGAACUUUAAAUCAUUAGCCUUUCCACUGGCCCCAUGGUCAACAACUGAUGGGAAGAUGUGUCCUCGUCUGAUCCUUGGGGUCACAAGCAUCACCCAGCUGCCAGACGCUGGGUAUCAUGAUUACUUACUUUGGGGAACAAGCCAUAAACAACACUGGAACAAGCCUGCCUGCAAAGAAGCUGAACUCUCAAC
ensembl:lncRNA